rnacentral:tRNA from 1 species
GGGGAUGUAGCUCAAAUGGUAGAGCGCUCGCCUAGCAUGCGAGAGGUACCAGGAUCGAUACUUGGCAUCUCCA